rnacentral:rRNA from 1 species
CACGUAGGCACCAAGCGUUGUCCGGAUUUAUUGGGCGUAAAGAGCUUGUAGGCGGUUCAGUAAGUCGGGUGUGAAAACUUUGGGCUUAACCCAAAGCGUGCAUCUGAUACUGCUGUGACUUGAGUUCGGUAGGGGAGUGGGGAAUUCCUAGUGUAGCGGUGAAAUGCGCAGAUAUUAGGAGGAACACCGGUGGCGAAGGCGCCACUCUGGGCCGAAACUGACGCUGAGGAGCGAAAGCAUGGGUAGCAAACAGG